UUGUAAAAAUUAGGAAGCCGAUAUAAUCUGGCACUUGCGCUACUAACGUGAUAUAAAUUUUUGCGGACACUUUUUAAUGUGGAUAAAUCGUCUACAUACUCUACACGCAAAAAGGCCAAGAAGUCAUCCAAUACGAAUACAGCUGUUGGACUGUGGUGAAGAUCGUCGUUCUUCACAACAUGGCGCAUGGACGCAUCAAGCAAGUUCUAGAUUAUAUAAUCUAUAGAGGGAAUUUAACUAGGGUGGACCGUGGUGGCGCAUCAGCUCAAUACGGGAUGAAUGCAAGCUUUGUAAAGUGCAGAUCGACGGUAAGCACAGCUGUGCUUACCGUCGAUCUCGACCCGCUUCGGAACCGCUGUCAGUGUUGCUUUAUUACGUUGGGAAAUCCAAUUUACGGCUACCCGGCCGAUGAGAAUCAAGCAGGCUUAUAUUGGACUCCACGGCAAUUACCGACUAAACCACUCUCUCCCGACCUCCGAUCCCCGGCCGAGACGGAGCUCGGGUUAGGGUAGGUAGGGGAAUCCCAUGGUCAAUAUUUAGAACUAGGCGGAAUCGUCGAGGGGACAGUACACGACUCAACAUCAGACUCGAGGCAGCCGCCUCGGCGUUGCCGCCGGUGACCUGGUAAACCCCACUGAACCAGAACCAGCCUGCCGGGUCAGAAACACGUAACACUCCCGCCCGUUCGUGCACGCCCACACACAGCUGUUCCGCGGGACCACCAUCGUCCGAUAAACACGGUGAAAGAUUCUACGAGACAUCUACAAAUGAAAUAAGAAGGAAGAAUACGAACAUAGAAGAAAAAAAAGUUACAUUCACGUUCAUAUUGCUAUGUAACAGAACAAUUUUCUUGCUUAUCAAAACUGAAAUUUUCUAAAAUUUUAUAACAAAAAGAAACUAAUAAUAUUUGAAACAUUUUAA